UAAUACGUAGGAGGCUAGCGUUAUCCGGAUUUACUGGGCGUAAAGAGGGCGUAGGCGGCUUUUCAAGUCGGAUGUAAAAUCUCCCGGCUUAACUGGGAGGGAUCAUCCGGUACUGUUGGGCUAGAGGGCAGCAGAGGGAGGCGGAAUUCCCGGUGUAGUGGUGAAAUGCAUAGAUAUCGGGAGGAACACCAGUGGCGAAGGCGGCCUCCUGGGCUGUUCCUGACGCUGAGGCCCGAAAGCGUGGGGAGCGAACAGGAUUAGAUACCCUGGUAGUCCACGCCAUAAACGAUGGACACUAGGUAUGGGGAGUAUCGACCCUCUCUGUGCCGAAGUUAACGCAUUAAGUGUCCCGCCUGGGGAUUACGGCCGCAAGGCUA
rnacentral:rRNA from 1 species